rnacentral:rRNA from 1 species
GCGGACGGGUGAGUAAUACUUAGGAAUCUGCCCAGUAGUGGGGGAUAGCUCGGGGAAACUCGAAUUAAUACCGCAUACACCCUACGGGGAAAAGGGGGCGCUUGCGCUCUCGCUAUUGGAUGAGCCUAAGUCGGAUUAGCUAGUUGGUGGGGUAAAGGCCUACCAAGGCGACGAUCUGUAGCUGGUCUGAGAGGAUGAUCAGCCACACCGGGACUGAGACACGGCCCGGACUCCUACGGGAGGCAGCAGUGGGGAAUAUUGGACAAUGGGGGCAACCCUGAUCCAGCCAUGCCGCGUGUGUGAAGAAGGCCUUUUGGUUGUAAAGCACUUUAAGCAGUGAAGAAGACUCUAUGGUUAAUACCCAUAGACGAUGACAUUAGCUGCAGAAUAAGCACCGGCUAACUCUGUGCCAGCAGCCGCGGUAAUACAGAGGGUGCAAGCGUUAAUCGGAAUUACUGGGCGUAAAGCGAGCGUAGGUGGCUUAAUAAGUCAGAUGUGAAAUCCCCGGGCUUAACCU